UAGUGAAAUGAUGGCAAUCUUCUCUCAGAAUUGACCUGAGAUGAAGAAAAUACUCAUUGCUGGUCAUUU
ensembl:snoRNA